UUCCAUUCUAGAGCUACAAGUUUCAGUUUGAAUCCUUGUCUGGGCUAAAGUCCCCAUAAGGGACUGGAGGUCAAUCUGGACAAAGAUCAAGUACUUCAAACCACAGCUGUUUUCCACGGCUUUUCUCACUUAGUUGAUUUUCCAACACUGCCUUUUUCAGAAAAAAACUGUGUUAGUACAGCAUGUCGAUGAAGCUCAUAAAAGGCUGUGCUGCAAUGUACUAUUCAGUGUCCCUGGGUAAGCCUGGUCUCUUUGAAGAGUCUUUGCAGGAAGGGUGAGAACAGUCUUCAGAUCAAGAUGCAGCAUGGAUAAAUAGUGCCUCUUUCUAGCCUAGUAUUCCCCUGUCAAAGGGAACCGUCAGAGAUGACACAAGAGCAACACCAGGAGGACUCUUCACAAUCUCAAAGGAAAACAGCUCUCAGGCCACAGGACUACAUCUAUAAAUCUUCAAAAUCCUGUAUCCAGGGCUGUUUCAUCUGUUGUAAACCUGGAGCUUUGCACAGAAGGCCAGAGGACAAGUACUGGAUUCCAUGUCAGUCAUCAAGAUUGUUGAUGAGGCCAAGCCAGAAGCUCCUCACCUCUGAGGGUCAUUUCUCUGUGUUCCUGGGCGGAAGAGUGGUCACAUCACAGUUUUCCAACAUUUAA
rnacentral:lncRNA from 1 species